UUCUAUGGCCAUACCAUCCUGAACAUGCCCGAUCUCGUCUGAUCUCAGAAAUUAAAAUCGCAGACAAAAAGUUCCUCCAUAGAAC
rnacentral:rRNA from 1 species